rnacentral:ncRNA from 2 species
UUAGCAUGUGCAGGCGACGGAAACCAGGAAGCCGGUGCGAGUCCGGCACGGUCCCGCCACUGUGAUCGGGGAGCCGAACCCCCCGCGCGCCACGGUGCCCCGCACCGGAAGGCCGGGUGAGGCGUUGAUCCGCGAGUCAGGAGACUGGGCCGUCGCUGCUUCGUCCAC